AAAUUAGUCCCUCCGUCCCAAAAUUCUUGUCUUAGAUUUGUCUAGAUACGGAUGUAUCAAGUCACAUUUUAGUAUUAGAUACAUCUGUAUCUAGACAAAUCUAAGACAAGAAAUUUGGGACAGAGGGAGUAGUUG
rnacentral:pre_miRNA from 1 species